rfam:Myotis brandtii contig248269, whole genome shotgun sequence.
GAUGGUUCUUAGGGGACAUGCCCUGGAAUCGGGCUCCCUUCUCUCUGGUUCCUGGUGUGUCACCAGAGAACCGCA